rnacentral:rRNA from 1 species
AUUAAAUCAGUUAUAAUUUAUUUGAUGGUCCUUUUACUACUUGGAUAACCGUGGUAAAUCUAGAGCUAAUACAUGCACAAAAUCCUAACUAAUUUUAUUGGGAGGGAUGUAUUUAUUAGAUUCAAAAGCCAAUCCCAUCUCUUCGGGGGGUGGAAAUUUUUCAUAUGGUGAUUCAUGAUAACUUUACGAAUCGUAUGGCCUUCGCGCCGGCGAUAGUUCAUUCAAAUAUCUGCCCUAUCAACUUUCGAUGGUAGUAUAGAGGACUACCAUGGUGGUAACGGGUAACGGAGAAUCAGGGUUUGAUUCCGGAGAAGGAGCCUGAGAAACGGCUACUACUUCCAAGGAAGGCAGCAGGCGCGCAAAUUACCCAAUCCCGACACGGGGAGGUAGUGACAAAAAAUAACAAUACCGGUCUCAAAAGAGUCUGGUAAUUGGAAUGAGUACAAUCUAAAACCUUUAACGAGUAUCAAUUGGAGGGCAAGUCUGGUGCCAGCAGCCGCGGUAAUUCCAGCUCCAAUAGCAUAUAUUAAAGUUGUUGCAGUUAAAAAGCUCGUAGUUGGAUUUUGAAGUUGCUUAUUGUGAUCCGCCCUGUCGGGUGUGUGUUGCGGUAAGCACUUCUCCUAACUAGAUAUUCACUAUUGCACUUAAGGUGAUGAUGUUGCUCUCUCUCGGGGGGGCGAGUAGUAGGUAGACCUAUUGGAGUCGGAUUGUGGAUGAGAUGCUGCUUCGGUGGUGCGUUGUUCUGCUGAUUUCAAUAACUAUCUACUAGAAUUCCAGUUCUUUUACUUUGAGUAAAUUAGAGUGUUCAAGGCAAGCAAGAUUGUUCUGCAAUGAAUACUAUUAGCAUGGGAUAAUGGAACAGGACACGUAUUCUAGUUUUUCGUUGGUUUCUAGAAUUUUUAGUGUAAUGAUUAAAAGGGAUAGUUGGGGGCAUUCGUAUUUCAUUGUCAGAGGUGAAAUUCUUGGAUUUGUGAAAGACGAACUUCUGCGAAAGCAUUUGUCAAAGAUGUUUUCAUUAAUCAAGAACGAAAGUUAGGGGAUCGAAGACGAUCAGAUACCGUCGUAGUCUUAACCAUAAACUAUGCCGACCAGGGAUUGGAAGAUGUUCGAACUUAUUGUUAAAUAAGAAGACUCUCCCAGCACCUUACGAGAAAUCAUAAGUCUUUGGGUUCUGGGGGGAGUAUGGUCGCAAGGCUGAAACUUAAAGGAAUUGACGGAAGGGCACCACCAGGAGUGGAGCCUGCGGCUUAAUUUGACUCAACACGGGAAAACUUACCAGGUCCAGAGACAGUUAGGAUUGACAGAUUGAGAGCUCUUUCUUGAUUCUGUGGAUGGUGGUGCAUGGCCGUUCUUAGUUGGUGGAGUGAUUUGUCUGGUUUAUUCCGAUAACGAACGAGACCUCAGCCUGCUAAUUAGUGAUGCAAAUGACAACAUCCGCAAGGGGAGGGUUUCUAAGGUAGCUUAGGGGCAACUCUGAGAUAUCGUAGAAACUCGUUUUUUCAUUUGUGAGUGAAACGGUGCAGUUUUUUUUACUCGUUAAUGACUUCUUAGAGGGACACUUGGUGUCCAACCAAGGGAAGUUUGAGGCAAUAACAGGUCAGUGAUGCCCUUUAGAUGUUCUGGGCUGCACGCGCGCUACACUGAUACGAUCAACGAGCACAGAAAGCCUCAUCCGAAAGGUUCGGGUAAACUUGUGAACUCGUAUCGUGAUGGGGAUCGAUGAUUGUAAUUAUUCGUCGUGAACGAGGAAUUUCUAGUAGGCGCAAUUCAACAGAUUGCGUCGAUUACGUCCCUGCCCUUUGUACACACCGCCCGUCGCUGCUACUGAUGUUUGGUCCGGUGAAAUCGUAGGAUCCGAGACAGUCACUUAAGCGAUCUCGGUUGUUUAAGAGUUUGUUGUGGAGAAUUUGAGUAAACCUUGCUAAAUAGAGGAAGCAAAAGUCGUAACAAGGUAUUC